rnacentral:rRNA from 1 species
CCAAUAGCGUAUAUUAAAGUUGUUGCAGUUAAAAAGCUCGUAGUUGAAUUUCGGGGUUAGUAGAUUGGUCGUGCCACUGGUAGGUACUGGUCUUACUGAUUCCUCCUUCCUGAUGAACCGUAAUGCCAUUAAUUUGGUGUUGCGGGGAGACUGGACUGUUACUUUGAAAAAAUUAGAGUGUUUAAAGCAGGCUAACGCUUGAAUACAUUAGCAUGGAAUAAUGAAAUAGGACGUUCGAUCCUAUUUUGUUGGUUUCUAGGAUUGACGUAAUGAUUAAUAGGGAUAGUUGGGGGCAUUAGUAUUCAAUUGUCAGAGGUGAAAUUCUUGGAUGUAUUGAAGACCAACUACUGCGAAAGCAUUUGCCAAGGAUGUUUUCAUUAAUCAAGAACGAAAGUUAGGGGAUCGAAGACGAUCAGAUACCGUCGUAGUCUUAACCAUAAACUAUGCCGACUAGGGAUCGGAUGAUGUUAAUUUUUUAAUGACUCAUUCGGCGCCUUACG